rnacentral:rRNA from 1 species
GGCCGCAGUAAACUGUACUGUGCUAAGGUAGCAAAAUCAUUAGUCUUUUUAUUGAAGACCUGUAUAAAAGAUCUGACAAAGAAAUCCCUGUCUUAAUAAAAACAGUAUAACUUUAUUUUAAAGUAAAAAAGCUUUAAAAUUUUAAUAGGACGAUAAGACCCUAAAAUCUGUUUAACUUAAUACUAUUAAAUCUUAAGAAAUAUUAUAAAGAAAAAAUAGUAAAAGUUAAUUUACUGGGGCGGUAAUUAUAAUAAUAAGCUAUAAAACUAUAAACAUUUUGAAUGAUUUAUUUUUAACCUUUGUGAAUAAAAUAAGAUACUUUAGGGAUAACAGCAUAAUAUAUUUUAAGAGUUCUUAUCGCCAAAUAUGUUUAUGACCUCGAUGUUGAAUUGAGUUUUCUCUUCCUAGAAGUUUAGGUUUUAUAGAAAGUCUGUUCGACUUUUAAUAUCUCACAUGAUUUGAGUUCAAACCGGC